rnacentral:rRNA from 1 species
GACAGAGGUCUCAAGCGUUGUUCGGAUUCAUUGGGCGUAAAGGGUGCGUAGGUGGCGGGGCAAGUCUGGUGUGAAAUCCCGGGGCUCAACCCCGGAACUGCACUGGAUACUGCUUUGCUAGAGUACUGGAGAGGGAACUGGAAUUUACGGUGUAGCAGUGAAAUGCGUAGAUAUCGUAAGGAAGACCAGUGGCGAAGGCGAGUUCCUGGACAGUUACUGACACUGAGGCACGAAGGCCAGGGGAGCAAACGGG